rnacentral:rRNA from 1 species
GACGAACGCUGGCGGCAUGCCUAAUACAUGCAAGUCAAGCGAACAGAUGAAGUGCUUGCACUUCUGACGUUAGCGGCGAACGGGUGAGUAACACGUAAGGAAUCUACCUAUAAGCGGGGGAUAACAUUCGGAAACGGGUGCUAAACCGCAUAAAUUCAUCUUCCGGCUGGGAGGAAGUUUAAAGGAGGCUUGUCUGUUCCUUAUAGUAGAACUUGCGGUGCAUUAGGUAGUUGGUGGGGGAACGGCCUACCAAGACGAUGAUGCAUAGCCGACCUGAGAGGGUGAUCGGCCACAUUGGGACUGAGACACGGCCCAAACUCCUACGGGAGGCAGCAGUAGGGAAUCUUCCGCAAUGGGCGAAAGCCUGACGGAGCAAUGCCGCGUGAGUGAAGAAGGCCUUCGGGUCGUAAAACUCUGUUAUAAGAGAAGAACAAAUUGUAGAGUAACUGCUACAGUCUUGACGGUAUCUUAUCAGAAAGCCACGGCUAACUACGUGCCAGCCGCCGCGGUAA